rnacentral:rRNA from 1 species
GAUGAACGCUGGCGGCGUGCCUAAUACAUGCAAGUCGAGCGAACAGACGAGGAGCUUGCUCCUCUGACGUUAGCGGCGGACGGGUGAGUAACACGUGGAUAACCUACCUAUAAGGCUGGGAUAACUUCGGGAAACCGGAGCUAAUACCGGAUAAUAUAUUGAACCGCAUGGUUCAAUAGUGAAAGACGGUUUUGCUGUCACUUAUAGAUGGAUCCGCGCCGCAUUAGCUAGUUGGUAAGGUAACGGCUUACCAAGGCAACGAUGCGUAGCCGACCUGAGAGGGUGAUCGGACACACUGGAACUGAGACACGGUCCAGACGCCUACGGGAGGCAGCAGUAGGGAAUCUUCCGCAAUGGGCGAAAGCCUGACGGAGCAACGCCGCGUGAGUGAUGAAGGUCUUCGGAUCGUAAAACUCUGUUAUUAGGGAAGAACAAAUGUGUAAGUAACUAUGCACGUCUUGACGGUACCUAAUCAGAAAGCCACGGCUAACUACGU